UAAGGGAAUCUUCGGCAAUGGACGGAAGUCUGACCGAGCAACGCCGCGUGAGUGAAGAAGGUUUUCGGAUCGUAAAGCUCUGUUGUUAGAGAAGAACGUUGGUAGGAGUGGAAAAUCUACCAAGUGACGGUAACUAACCAGGAAGGGACGGCUAACUACGUGCCAGCAGCCGCGGUAAUACGUAGGUCCCGAGCGUUGUCCGGAUUUAUUGGGCGUAAAGCGAGCGCAGGCGGUUCUUUAAGUCUGAAGUUAAAGGCAGUGGCUUAACCAUUGUACGCUUUGGAAACUGGAGGACUUGAGUGCAGAAGGGGAGAGUGGAAUUCCAUGUGUAGCGGUGAAAUGCGUAGAUAUAUGGAGGAACACCGGUGGCGAAAGCGGCUCUCUGGUCUGUAACUGACGCUGAGGCUCGAAAGCGUGGGGAGCAGACAGGAUUAGAUACCCUGGUAGUCCACGCCGUAAACGAUGAGUGCUAGGUGUUAGGCCCUUUCCGGGGCUUAGUGCCGCAGCUAACGCAUUAAGCACUCCGCCUGGGGAGUACGACCGCAAGGUUG
rnacentral:rRNA from 1 species